UUUGGCUGCAAUCAAGUGUCGUAUCCGUUCUUGCCUAUUCAAUAUCUGAUACGUUCUCUAUUCGAGGACUCUAUAUUAAAUG